ACCAUUAUCCGUCCUUUAUCUGCCGGUAAGAAUACUUUUCUUUUAUCUUGUAAAACCGUCUUAUUUCCAAAACGAAUUUCACGAAAAAAGAGUUAGACGGAAAAAGAAGGAUUUACAAGAUAAAAGAAAAGUAUUCUUACCAGUAGAUAAAGGACGGAUAAUGGU